rnacentral:piRNA from 2 species
UACAAUAAGCACUUGUCAAAUGCUGGUCUCC